GAUGAACGCUGGCGGCGUGCUUAACACAUGCAAGUCGAACGAAGCAUUUAAGGACGAUUCUUCGGAUGAGGACUUUUAUGACUGAGUGGCGGACGGGUGAGUAACGCGUGGGUAACCUGCCCUAUACAGGGGGAUAACAGUUAGAAAUGACUGCUAAUACCGCAUAAGCGCACAGGACCGCAUGGUUCGGUGUGAAAAACUGAGGUGGUAUAGGAUGGACCCGCGUCUGAUUAGCUUGUUGGUGAGGUAACGGCUCACCAAGGCGACGAUCAGUAGCCGGCCUGAGAGGGCGACCGGCCACAUUGGGACUGAGACACGGCCCAA
rnacentral:rRNA from 1 species